rnacentral:rRNA from 1 species
GACGAACGCUGGCGGCGUGCUUAACACAUGCGAGUCGAACGGAAAGGCCCUGCUUUUGUGGGGUGCUCGAGUGGCGAACGGGUGAGUAACACGUGAGUAACCUGCCCUUGACUUUGGGAUAACUUCAGGAAACUGGGGCUAAUACCGGAUAGGAGCUCCUGCUGCAUGGUGGGGGUUGGAAAGUUUCGGCGGUUGGGGAUGGACUCGCGGCUUAUCAGCUUGUUGGUGGGGUAGUGGCUUACCAAGGCUUUGACGGGUAGCCGGCCUGAGAGGGUGACCGGCCACAUUGGGACUGAGAUACGGCCCAGACUCCUACGGGAGGCAGCAGUGGGGAAUAUUGCACAAUGGGCGGAAGCCUGAUGCAGCAACGCCGCGUGCGGGAUGACGGCCUUCGGGUUGUAAACCGAUUUCGCCUGUGACGAAGCGUGAGUGACGGUAAUGGGUAAAGAAGCACCGGCUAACUACGUG